CGUAUCACUUAAAGCGAUUCAGCGGGUUACGAUUGACGGAGCGAAGCGACGUCAAAGCGUAUACAAAGUCGAGUCGGUUUAAGGAUACGUUCGUUGGGUAGGGGAGCGUUCUGUAAGCCUGCGAAGGUGGCCUGUGAGGGUUGCUGGAGGUAUCAGAAGUGCGAAUGCUGACAUAAGUAACGAUAAAGCGGGUGAAAAGCCCGCUCGCCGGAAGACCAAGGGUUCCUGUCCAACGUUAAUCGGGGCAGGGUGAGUCGACCCCUAAGGCGAGGCCGAAAGGCGUAGUCGAUGGGAAACGGGUUAAUAUUCCCGUACUUGGUGUUACUGCGAAGGGGGGACGGAGAAGGCUAUGUUGGCCGGGCGACGGUUGUCCCGGUUUAAGCGUGUAGGUGUGUGUUCCAGGUAAAUCCGGUUCACUUUAACACUGAGGCGUGAUGACGAGGCACUACGGUGCUGAAGCAACAAAUGCCCUGCUUCCAGGAAAAGCCUCUAAGCAUCAGGUAACAUCAAAUCGUACCCCAAACCGACACAGGUGGUCAGGUAGAGAAUACCAAGGCGCUUGAGAGAACUCGGGUGAAGGAACUAGGCAAAAUGGUGCCGUAACUUCGGGAGAAGGCACGCUGACACGUAGGUGAAGUGAUUUACUCAUGGAGCUGAAGUCAGUCGAAGAUACCAGCUGGCUGCAACUGUUUAUUAAAAACACAGCACUGUGCAAACACGAAAGUGGACGUAUACGGUGUGACGCCUGCCCGGUGCCGGAAGGUUAAUUGAUGGGGUCAGCGCAAGCGAAGCUCCUGAUCGAAGCCCCGGUAAACGGCGGCCGUAACUAUAACGGUCCUAAGGUAGCGAAAUUCCUUGUCGGGUAAGUUCCGACCUGCACGAAUGGCGUAAUGAUGGCCAGGCUGUCUCCACCCGAGACUCAGUGAAAUUGAACUCGCUGUGAAGAUGCAGUGUACCCGCGGCAAGACGGAAAGACCCCGUGAACCUUUACUAUAGCUUGACACUGAACAUUGAGCCUUGAUGUGUAGGAUAGGUGGGAGGCUUUGAAGUGUGGACGCCAGUCUGCAUGGAGCCGACCUUGAAAUACCACCCUUUAAUGUUU
rnacentral:rRNA from 1 species